rnacentral:pre_miRNA from 1 species
AAGCAAACGUGCACUCGGGUUUAAGAGUCAAGCCAAAGAGUAAUUUAUUCCGAGGAAGAAUAAUUUAUUCAGAGGGUAUCCUCUGAAUAAAUUACUCUGUGGCUUGACUCUUCAACCCGAGUGCACGUUUGCUUG